GACGUAGGGGGCAAGCGUUGUCCGGAAUCAUUGGGCGUAAAGAGCGUGUAGGCGGCUCGGUAAGUCCGCUGUGAAAGUCCAGGGCUCAACCCUGGAAUGCCGGUGGAAACUGUCGAGCUAGAGUCCGGAAGAGGCGAGUGGAAUUCCUGGUGUAGCGGUGAAAUGCGCAGAUAUCAGGAGGAACACCAAUGGCGAAGGCAGCUCGCUGGGACGGUACUGACGCUGAGACGCGAAAGCGUGGGGAGCAAACAGG
rnacentral:rRNA from 1 species